rnacentral:misc_RNA from 1 species
UUUCCGUAGGUGAACCUGCGGAGGGAUCACUCAUCAUCAGUGUUUUAUGGCACCUUUUUCAAUCCAUAUCCACCUUGUGUGCCAUGUCAGGGUUGAUUUUUCUUUCGAGACGAUCAGCCUCAAACAUCAACUAUAUCUCAACUCUUUGUCUGAAAAAUAUUAUGAAUAAAUCAAGUCAAAAUACAACUUUCAACAACGGAUCUCUUGGCUCUC